CCUACGGGUGGCAGCAGUGGGGAAUAUUGGGCAAUGGAGGAAACUCUGACCCAGCAACGCCGCGUGAAUGAUGAAGGUCUUCGGAUUGGAAAGUUCUUUUCUAAGGGGAGAAGAAAGUGACGGUACCUUAGGAAUAAGCCUCGGCUAACUACGUGCCAGCAGCCGCGGUAAUACGUAGGAGGCGAGAGUUAUCCGGAAGGACUGGGCGUAAGGGCUUCGUAGGUGGUUUGGCAAGUUAGUCGCGUAACUCCAAGGCUAAACCUUGGAACCACUACUAAAACUGUCGGACUUGAGUGCAGGAGGGGUAAGCGGAAUGCGUAGUGUAGCGGUGAAAUGCGUAGAUAUUAGGAGGAACACCAGUUGCGAAGGCGGGUUGCCAGACUGUAACUGACACUGAGGCACGAAAGCGUGGGGAGCAAACAGGAUUAGAUACCCUUGUAGUC
rnacentral:rRNA from 1 species